UACGUAGGGUGCGAGCGUUAAUCGGAAUUACUGGGCGUAAAGCGUGCGUAGGCGGUUGGCAAAGUCAGCUGUGAAAGCCCCGGGCUCAACCCGGGAACUGCGUCCGAUACUGGCAGGCUUGAAUUCGGGAGAGGGAUGCGGAAUUCCAGGUGUAGCGGUGAAAUGCGUAGAUAUCGAGAGGAACACCAGUGGCGAAGGCGAGUCUCUGGACAACUCCUGACACUGAGGCACGAAAGCUAGGGGAGCAAACAGG
rnacentral:rRNA from 1 species